rnacentral:rRNA from 1 species
AGGCAAGUAAGGGCGCGUGGAACUCUUGGUGGANCGGUGGAAUGCGUAGAUAUCAAGAGGAACGCCGGAGGUGAAGACGGCGCGCUGGGCUUGUCCUGACGCUGAGGUGCGAAAGCCAGGGGAGCGAACGGGAUUAGAUACCCCGGUAGUCCUGGCCCUAAACGAUGUCCACUAGGUCGAUGGUUCUCUGACGGAUUGUCGGCCGAAACCAAAGCGUUAAGUGGACCGCCUGGGGAGUACGGUCGCAAGGCUAAAACUCAAAGGAAUUGACGGGGACUCACACAAGCGGUGGAGCAUGUUGCUUAAUUCGAUGCAACGCGAAGAACCUUAUCCUGGGCUUGACAUGUAUGGAUGCCUACCUGGAAACAGGAUCGGUUGCCCUUCGGNGGUGAAACGUACACAGGUGCUGCAUGGCUGUCGUCAGCUCGUGUCGUGAGAUGUUGGGUUAAGUCCCGUAACGAGCGAAACCCUUGUCGCUAGUUGCCAGCGGGUAAUGCCGGGGACUCUAGCGAGACUGCCUGUGUCAAACCGGGGGAAGGUGGGGAUGACGUCAAGUCCUCAUGGCCUUUAUGCCCAGGGCUGCAAACGUGCUACAAUGGCCGAGACAAAACGACGCAAGACCGCGAGGUGGAGCUAAUCGGAAAAAUCGUUCAGUUCGGAUUGGAGUCUGCACUCGACUCCAUGAAGUGGAUCGCUAGUAAUCGCGUAUCAGCCACGACGCGGUGAAUGUGUUCCUGAGUCUUGUACACACCGCCCGUCAAGUCAUGGAAGCCGGGAGCGCCCGAAGUCGCCACGAUUCAGUG